UGGGGAAUUUUGGACAAUGGGCGAAGCCUGAUCCAGCAAUGCCGCGUGUGUGAAGAAGGCCUUCGGGUUGUAAAGCACUUUUGUCCGGAAAGAAAUCCUUGGCUCUAAUACAGUCGGGGGAUGACGGUACCGGAAGAAUAAGCACCGGCUAACUACGUGCCAGCAGCCGCGGUAAUACGUAGGGUGCAAGCGUUAAUCGGAAUUACUGGGCGUAAAGCGUGCGCAGGCGGUUUGCUAAGACCGAUGUGAAAUCCCCGGGCUCAACCUGGGGAACUGCAUUGGUGACUGGGCAGGCUAGAGUAUGGCAGAGGGGGGUAGAAUUCCACGUGUAGCAGUGAAAUGCGUAGAGAUGUGGAGGAAUACCGAUGGCGAAGGCAGCCCCCUGGGCCAAUACUGACGCUCAUGCACGAAAGCGUGGGGGAGCAAACAGGAUUAGAUA
rnacentral:rRNA from 1 species